UACGAAGGGGGCUAGCGUUGCUCGGAAUUACUGGGCGUAAAGCGUGCGCAGGCGGUUCGCAAAGUCUGAUGUGAAAGCCCCGGGCUCAACCUGGGAACUGCAUUGGAAACUAACGGGCUCGAGUGUGGCAGAGGGGGGUGGAAUUCCACGUGUAGCAGUGAAAUGCGUAGAGAUGUGGAGGAACACCGAUGGCGAAGGCAGCCCCCUGGGCUAACACUGACGCUCAGGCACGAAAGCGUGGGGAGCAAACAGG
rnacentral:rRNA from 1 species